rnacentral:lncRNA from 1 species
CCGCUCCCUCCAUCGACGCUCCCUCCGUCUCAAAGCCUCCGUCGUGCUCACUCUCUCGUAAGCCUUCAAACGUCGCUCCUUCUUCCAUGGCUGAAACCCGUAACGCUCUGUUUUUCCUCCUGCGUCGCCGGUCUCUGUCUCCUCCUGCGUGUGGCUGUGCUGAAGCUCCAUGGGAAGGAUAUACAACGGAUUCCAUGGGUGAAGCUUAACCACAGCUACAGAAGUACCGCGAGACUCGAUUGAAG